AUUGAACGCUGGCGGCAUGCCUUACACAUGCAAGUCGAACGGCAGCGGGUCCUUCGGGAUGCCGGCGAGUGGCGAACGGGUGAGUAAUGCAUCGGAACGUACCCGGAAGUGGGGGAUAACGUAGCGAAAGUUACGCUAAUACCGCAUAUUCUGUGAGCAGGAAAGAGGGGGAUCGCAAGACCUCUCGCUUUCGGAGCGGCCGAUGUCGGAUUAGAUAGUUGGCGGGGGAAAGGCCCACCAAGGCGACGAUCGGUAGCGGGUCUGAGAGGAUGAUCCGCCACACUGGGAGUGUGGCACGGCCGAGAGUCAUACGUGAGACAGCAGUGGGGAAUUUUGGACAAUGGGGGCAACCCUGAUCAAGCCAUGCCGCGUGAGUGAAGAAGGCCUUCGGGUUGUAAAGCUCUUUCGGCUGGGAAGAAAUCGCAUCUCCUAAUACGGGGUGUGGAUGACGGUACCAGCAUAAGAAGCACCGGCUAACUACGUGCCAGCCGCCGCGGUAACAC
rnacentral:rRNA from 1 species